rnacentral:lncRNA from 1 species
AGACUGAUGACUCAUUCUUCUGUAUCCUCUAAACUGCGGUUGAUUCCUCUGGUGCGUUUCUCACUUCAAUUGUUAUAAUUCUUCAUUUCUGACUACUUCUUUUUAAUAUUUUUGCCUCUUUGCUGAAGUUCUCACUGAGUUCAUCCUUUCCUCUCCCACUUUGGUGAGCAUAUUUAUUACUUUGAGCUCCUUUAUCUGGUAAGUUGUUUGCAGGUAUUUUUCAUCUCAUUUUGCCUGACUUUCUAUGUUUGUUUCUAUGGAUAAGCUAUGUCAGCUUUAUCUCCUGGCCAUGAAAGAGUGGAAAGCCUUUCUUUAUGUAGAAAGUCCUGUGGAGCUCGGUGGCACACUCCUCCCCCGUCACCUGAGCCGGGUGCUCCAGUGGUGAUCCCUGAGUGGACACCUGCGUGUGUCCUCCUGUUGUAGGUGGGCCACAACAGAUAUGGGUGUGCUGGUGUGUGGGGCUGGUCCCCAAAGCAGAAGCCACUUUGGCGGGGCUUGAUUUCAGCCAGGGCCACCUGCCAGGUGGGGUGGAGUGGGAGCUGCUUUAGGUGGGACAGGUUCUUGGGGGAUCACUGAAGUGGGGUGCAUGGUUUUAGCUAGGUUGAUGGAAAGUGAUAGAUAUGGUGCCUGCCAGCACCAGGCCAGCUGGGUGAUAGUGUUUUCCAUANCUAUUUUUAAAAAAUGGUGUUUUCAAGCACUUCCAUCCCCAGAGAAAGUUCCACCAGGCACAGGAUUGCAUCUCUGCCCCACUUUCCAUCUCUGUGUGGCCUUUUCUUUAUAACCUUAGUCAUAGAAAAUCUGUUCAGUUCACCUUUGGGUCAGUCUCGGAGAUACUUAUUCUGUGUGUAGCUGUAGUUUUGCUGUGUCCGUGGGAGGAGGUGAGUCCAUGGCCUUCCUACCCUGCCAUGCUGGUCUGGAACUCAGCAGUGGAACCAUCUUAUGACCCCAUCAUUUGGAACGAGGGUUACAAUUUCUCCACCUCCUUGGCGACACUUGUCAUCUGUGUAUUUUUGAUAGCAGCCGUCCUAAUGAGUGUGAAGUGAUAUCUCAUUGUGAUUUGAUUUAUACCUCUCUGAUGUUUAGCGAAGCUGAAUAUUUUUCCAAUACUUACUGCCCAUUUAUACAUCACUUUUGGAAAAAUGACACUUCCAGUCUUUUUCCCAUUUUUAAUUGAGUUGUUUGAUUUUGUUGCUGCUGAGUUAUAGGAGUUACAAUGGACAUGAGUUUGAGCAAGCUUCAGGAGAUGGUGAAUGACAGGAAAGUCUGGUGUGCUGCAGUCCACGGGGUCGCAAAGAGUUGGACAUGACUGAGCGACUAAACAACAACGUAAUUGUAGCAUCCCCUUUUGCUGGAACCCCUUCUUUGUUUUACAGUGGAUUGGGUGUUUCAGCUUCUCAGCUGGGUGCUAGAGUUCUCAUGGAGGGGUUCUGGUCUAUAUAUUGUGGUUAAUUAGGUGUCUCUGUGAGGGAAGGACGGUCUACAGCUUG